CUGAGUUCAAAGAAAAUAUCUAGUAUCAGCUCCGUGGAGGUGCCCGUCCCUAUAUCACACCCCCAUCACCCAGUUGGUGAACUCACUCCAGCAACCAUAUCCCUUCUCCUGCCCCGGACUCCUGCAGCAUCUGAAGCUCGCCUUCGCCACGCAUGCAGGGUACUACAUGAAGUGACCUAGAACACAUGGAAGGGGAUAAGUUCCAGGAAGAGAUCGAAUGCCUCAUGGAGGUGAAGCACAAAAACGUCGCACGGUUUCUAGGAUAUUGUGCCGACACGCAAGGGAGAGAGGUAGACUUUGAGGGAAGCUUUGUAAUGGCAGAUGUACGACGACAGUUCCUCUGUUUUAAGUAUCGACACAAAGAUACACACAGUGGAGUUGAAUGGAGAGAGCACUAUGAAAUAAUCAAGGAAAUUGCAAGGGUUUAUGGUACCUUCACCGUAAUCAUAUUAUUCACUUGGACCUAAAACCUGAUAAUAUAUUGUUGGAUGAUAAUAUGGUACCGAAAAUAGCUGACUUUGGUCUCUCAAAGUACUUUCGUGCCGGAUUAUCAUUUCAAAAUUUGGAUGAACAUCGGGUUAUUUGGCACCAGAAUUCUACGGUGGAAAGCUCACAUUCAAGUCAGACAUAUACAGUUUGGGUGUUAUAAUCAUAGAGAUAUUAAUAUGCCGUAUGAAAUAUACCAAAGACUGCUCUGCUUUGAGUAUAUACCCAAAGGGUAUCUUUAUGAUUAUAUCACCGGUCACAUUCAAGUCAGACAUAUACAGUUUGGGUGUUAUAAUCAUAGAGAUACUAACAUGACAUAUGGGAUAUACCAAAGAUUGCUCUGCUUUGAGUAUGUAUCUAAAGGGAGUCUUCAUGAUUAUAUCACCGAUGCAUCUCGUGGACUUGAAUGGGGCAAGAGGUAUCUAAUUAUUAAAGGAAUUUGUGAGGGCUUAUAUUACCUUAAACAAGAAAGUAUUAUUAACUUAGAUCUGAAACCAGCCAAUAUAUCGGUGGACAACAAUAUGUUGCCCAAAAUUGCCGACUUUGGUCUCCCAAGAUGUUAUGAUGAAAAUCAAAAUUGGAUCAAUGUAAGCCGGUUAAGUCUCUCAAAGCUCAUCAAUGGUGGCUUUGUAGUGGUUUAUAAGGGAAUUCUUUAAAAUGGGGGAAUCGCUGUGAAGAAGCUUUCCAACAUGUCUUAUAUUCAUGAUAGCGAAUUCGAGUGAGAGGCUGAAUGUUUGAUGAAGACCAAGCACAAAAAGUACGGUUUAUGAGUUAUUUGGCUAUGCACAUAGGGAAAUGGCUUCCUACGAGGGAAAAAUUUCCAUGGUAGAUGUACAACAAAGGUUGCUCUGCUUUGAGUAUCUACCAAAAGGAAGUCUUCGUGACUAUAUCACCGAAUGCUUAUGGAUAUGAAUGGAGAGAGCGCUGUAAUAUAAUCAAAGGAAUUUGUGAGGGUUUAAGUUAUCUCCACAAGAACCAUAUUGUUCACUUCGACUUAAACCGACAAAUAUACUUUAUGGAAUAUAAUAUGGUUCCUAAAAUAACUGACUUUGGUAUCUCAAGAUGUUUUGAUGAAACAAGGCCGUGUUAUUACUUCAAAAGUGAUGGGAUUAGUGUAAGCCGGCUAAGCCUCUCGAAAGCUCUCAAGCUCUUUUUUUCAGGGUUCACUUUUAAAUUAUGUAUUCAUUAUCUUCUCAUUUCAUGUAGGGGAUAUGUUUUACUAGAAGUUCUUUUCAAUGGAAUAAUCACAUUCAAAUCAGACAUAUACAAUCUUAGUCUAUAUAUCAAUAAUUAUGGAGACAUUGAUUAUGAUGAAGUGGUAUUUUGAAGUUGAUUAUGUAUGAAUUUAUAUCACCCUUCAAUGAUAAAAUGUUCAAAUACUGAUGCCAUGCCUUUUACUUAUGCAUACUGUUGGAAGCACACCCAGCAGCCCUAAGCACAAAUUAGCUGCAAAAGACACAACAGACUUAUUGUAAUGUAAACCUAUAGUUUUGCAAAGGGGGUAAAAUGAACAUUCUUUAAUACAAUUUGACACUACUUUAUCUCUGUUUCUUUUUAAUUUUACCGAACAGUAGAACACAGAUUACAUGGUGCAGUUUUUACAUUUUUGUUAUAAAUUAUUGUUAGUUUGAUAUUGUAAUUUAGUAAUUUAUGUGGUUUGCACAUUAACAUCAUAUUUAUGGGGUUCGUAUGCAAAAGAUUACACACUUAAUUGCUGAUUACAUAGAUGUUGAUCCUUUUCAUUAACCCACAUCUCACUGUUGCAAUUGAGCAGGUACUCAAAAUUUGGAGGAAUAGAUUGGACAGAUCACUGGGAGGUAGACGACUGGAACGAGUAUGCUCUGAGUGAUGGAGUGCAUUGACACCGAGGCAGCGAGGAAACCAAGUCCUUAGCAUAUGAGCAAGCAUCUCAGCCGCCGGAGGGGUCAAUGCUCGUCAAUGUGGAUGCAGCGAUCUUCUCCCAAUCUGCAAGAGCGGGCUUUGGUCCGGUGAUACAUAAUCACCUGGGAAGGGUGCACAGGCGGUGAACAGAGGCUACUUCGAAAGAGUUCAAAUUCUUGAAGUAGCAGAAGCCAUGGCACUUCGUCAAGUCUUAAUCCUUGCCAAUAAAACUGGUAUAAUGAAGAUCAUGCGAUUGCCUAUCAUUGGGUUUAGGUUUUGAUAGGUCCCCUACUAGAGCCAUAGUCCAUGGUAUUAGAAAAUGUGCCACAAAAUUUGUAUCUUGUACUUUUAUCCAUGUCAAUCGUUCUUGUAGGCACUAGGCAGCACAUGUUCUGGUAUCCAUGUCAAUCGUUCUUGUAGGCGGCAUAUGUUCGGCUAAAUCGGCAGUUGGCUUAAUGGGUUCCCUGAUGUAAUAAGGAUCAUUAUAUGUAAUGAAUCAGUUAUGAAUGAAUAAAAGGGUGCAACUGCCCAUUACCUUAAAUAAAA